GAUGAACGCUGGCGGCGUGCCUAAUACAUGCAAGUCGAGCGAAUGGAUUAAGAGCUUGCUCUUAUGAAGUUAGCGGCGGACGGGUGAGUAACACGUGGGUAACCUGCCCAUAAGACUGGGAUAACUCCGGGAAACCGGGGCUAAUACCGGAUAACAUUUUGAACCGCAUGGUUCGAAAUUGAAAGGCGGCUUCGGCUGUCACUUAUGUAUGGACCCGCGUCGCAUUAGCUAGUUGGUGAGGUAACGGCUCACCAAGGCAACGAUGCGUAGCCGACCUGGGAGGGUGAUCGGCCACACUGGGACUGAGACACGGCCCAGACUCCUACGGGAGGCAGCAGUAGGGAAUCUUCCGCAAUGGACGAAAGUCUGACAGAGCAACGCCGCGUGAGUGAUGAAGGCUUUCGGGUCGUAAAACUCUGUUGUUAGGGAAGAACAAGUGCUAGUUGAAUAAGCUGGCACCUUGACGGUACCUAACCAGAAAGCCACGGCUAACUACGUGCCAGCCGCCGCGGUAA
rnacentral:rRNA from 1 species